rnacentral:rRNA from 1 species
CUGUAGGGAAUCUUCGGCAAUGGACGAAAGUCUGACCGAGCAACGCCGCGUGAGUGAAGAAGGUUUUCGGAUCGUAAAACUCUGUUGGUAGAGAGGAACGUUGGUGAGAGUGGAAAGCUCAUCAAGUGACGGUAACUACCCAGAAAGGGACGGCUAACUACGUGCCAC